CUACGCAUGGUAACGUUGGAUCUGUACAUGGAAGCAGCAUGGCCUUGCUAGCAUUGUUGGGAGGAGUUGCACUUCUUGUUUAGGGGGGGGGGGGGGGUAGUACAAUUAAUGGGUUCUUUGCUUUUGGAUUUCUAGAUAAUUUUAUGUAGAGAUUAAGGUAAUUAUUUGUGUAUUCUUUUCUUUUCUUUCCUUUUUUUUUUUUUUUUAAAUGGUAAUUUUUGGAGCUUCAUUUGUGGAGAUGAUUGGAGAGAUUGAUCGGAUAUUACUGCUCUUCUGUACCAUUUUAUCUUUAGAUGAAUAAAAGAUUCGUGAUUCUUAUUUG